CAAAGUUAAUAAGGGCGCACGGUGGAUGCCUUGGCACUAAGAGCCGAUGAAGGACGUGACUAACGACGAUAUUCUAGGGGGAGCAGUAAGUACGCAUUGAUCCCUAGGUCUCCGAAUGGGGAAACCCAGCUGCUACUAGCAGUUAUUCAUGAGUGAAUACAUAGCUCAUGUAAAGGUAACGCAGAGAACUGAAACAUCUAAGUACCUGCAGGAAGAGAAAGUAAAAACGAUUUCGUAAGUAGCGGCGAGCGAACGCGAAGAAGGGCAAACCAAGAAGCUUGCUUCUUGGGGUUGUAGGACUGCAACGUGGACUUAAGCAUUAUAGUCGAAUAACCUGGGAAGGUUAAUCAAAGAGGGUAAUAAUCCCGUAGACGAAAUAGCGCUUAUACCUAGCAGUAUCCUGAGUAGGGCUGGACACGCGAAAUCCAGUUUGAAUCCGGGAGGACCAUCUCCCAACCCUAAAUACUCCUUAGUGACCGAUAGUGAACCAGUACCGUGAGGGAAAGGUGAAAAGAACCCCGAGAGGGGAGUGAAAUAGCACCUGAAACCGUGUGCCUACAAGAAGUUCGAGCCCGUUAAUGGGUGAGAGCGUGCCUUUUGUAGAAUGAACCGGCGAGUUACGUUAUGAUGCGAGGUUAAGUUGAAGAGACGGAGCCGUAGGGAAACCGAGUCUGAAUAGGGCGACUUAGUAUCAUGAUGUAGACCCGAAACCUAGUGACCUAUCCAUGAGCAGGGUGAAGGUGUGGUAAGACGCACUGGAGGCCCGAACCAGGACACGUUGAAAAGUGUUUGGAUGACUUGUGGAUAGCGGAGAAAUUCCAAACGAACUGGGAGAUAGCUGGUUCUCUCCGAAAUAGCUUUAGGGCUAGCGUCGAAAUGUAAGUGUAUUGGAGGUAGAGCACUGUUUGGGUGAGGGGUCCGUCUAGGAUUACCAAUCUCAGAUAAACUCCGAAUGCUAAUACACAUGUUCGGCAGUCAGACUGCGAGUGCUAAGAUCCGUAGUCGAAAGGGAAACAGCCCAGACCACCAGCUAAGGUCCCAAAAUAUAUGUUAAGUGGAAAAGGAUGUGGGGUUGCACAGACAACUAGGAUGUUAGCUCAGAAGCAGCUAUCAUUCAAAGAGUGCGUAAUAGCUCACUAGUCGAGUGACCCUGCGCCGAAAAUGUACCGGGGCUAAACAUAUUACCGAAGCUUUGGAUUGAUAUUUUAUCAAUGGUAGGAGAGCGUUCUUAACCGCGAUGAAGGUAUACCGUGAGGAGUGCUGGAGCGUUAAGAAGUGAGAAUGCCGGUAUGAGUAGCGCAAGAUAAGUGAGAAUCUUAUCCACCGUAAGACUAAGGUUUCCAGGGGAAGGCUCGUCCGCCCUGGGUUAGUCGGGACCUAAGGCGAGGCCGAAAGGCGUAGUCGAUGGACAACUGGUUGAUAUUCCAGUACUAGAUAUGAUCGUGAUGGAGGGACGCAGUAGGCUAAGAGAUGCCAGUUAAUGGAUUCUGGUCUAAGCAGUGAGGUGUGAGAUGUGUCAAAUGCAUUUCUCUUUAACAUUGAGCUGUGAUGGGGAAGCAACUACGGUUGCGAACUCUCUGAUGUCACACUGCCAAGAAAAGCUUCUAGCGUAAAGUCAUAUCUACCCGUACCGCAAACCGACACAGGUAGUCGAGGCGAGUAGCCUCAGGUGAUCGAGAGAACUCUCGUUAAGGAACUCGGCAAAAUAGCCCCGUAACUUCGGGAGAAGGGGUGCUGGUGUAAAAGCCAGCCGCAGUGAAUAGGCCCAAGCAACUGUUUAUCAAAAACACAGCUCUCUGCUAACCGCAAGGUGAUGUAUAGGGGGUGACGCCUGCCCGGUGCUGGAAGGUUAAGAGGAGUGCUUAGACGUAAGUCGAAGGUAUGAAUUGAAGCCCCAGUAAACGGCGGCCGUAACUAUAACGGUCCUAAGGUAGCGAAAUUCCUUGUCGGGUAAGUUCCGACCCGCACGAAAGGCGUAAUGAUUUGGGCACUGUCUCAACGAGAGACUCGGUGAAAUUUUAGUACCUGUGAAGAUGCAGGUUACCCGCGACAGGACGGAAAGACCCCAUGGAGCUUUACUGU
rnacentral:rRNA from 1 species